UACGGAGGGUGCAAGCGUUGUUCGGAAUUAUUGGGCGUAAAGGGCGCGUAGGCGGUAAUGAAAGUCAGAUGUGAAAUACUUCGGCUCAACUGAAGAACUGCAUCUGAAACUUCAUAACUAGAGUACGGAAGAGGGAAAUGGAAUUCCCGGUGUAGAGGUGAAAUUCGUAGAUAUCGGGAGGAACACCAGUGGCGAAGGCGAUUUCCUGGUCUGGUACUGACGCUGAGGCGCGAAAGUGUGGGGAGCAAACAGGAUUAGAUACCCUGGUAGUCCACGCUGUAAACGAUGGAUGCUAGGUGUCGGGGAGCAAUCUUCGGUGCCGCAGUUAACGCGUUAAGCAUCCCGCCUGGGGAGUACGGUCGCAAGGCUGAA
rnacentral:rRNA from 1 species